GAGUGAACGCUGGCGGUAGGCCUAACACCUGCACGUCGAACGGCAGCACAGUAAGAGCUUGCUCUUACGGGUGGCGAGUGGCGGACGGGUGAGGAAUACAUCGGAAUCUACUUUUUCGUGGGGGAUAACGUAGGGAAACUUACGCUAAUACCGCAUACGACCUACGGGUGAAAGCAGGGGAUCUUCGGACCUUGCGCGAUUGAAUGAGCCGAUGUCGGAUUAGCUAGUUGGCGGGGUAAAGGCCCACCAAGGCGACGAUCCGUAGCUGGUCUGAGAGGAUGAUCAGCCACACUGGAACUGAGACACGGUCCAGACUCCUACGGGAGGCAGCAGUGGGGAAUAUUGGACAAUGGGCGCAAGCCUGAUCCAGCCAUACCGCGUGGGUGAAGAAGGCCUUCGGGUUGUAAAGCCCUUUUGUUGGGAAAGAAAAGCAGCAGGUUAAUACCCCGCUGUUCUGACGGUACCCAAAGAAUAAGCACCGGCUAACUUCGUG
rnacentral:rRNA from 1 species